rnacentral:rRNA from 1 species
GAUGAACGCUGGCGGCGUGCCUAAUACAUGCAAGUCGAGCGAACAGACGAGGAGCUUGCUCCUCUGACGUUAUCGGCGGACGGGUGAGUAACACGUGGAUAACCUACCUAUAAGACUGGGAUAACUUCGGGAAACCGGAGCUAAUACCGGAUAAUAUAUUGAACCGCAUGGUUCAAUAGUGAAAGACGAUUUUGCGUUCACUUAUAGAUGGAUCCGCGCCGGAUUAGCUAGUUGGUAAGGUAACAGCUUACCAAGGCAACGAUCCAUAGCCGACCUGAGAGGAUGAGCGGCCACACGGGGACUGAGACACGGCACAGACUCCUACGGGAGGCAGCAGUGGGGAAUAUUGGACAAUGGGCGAAAGCCUGAUCCAGCAAUGCCGCGUGAGUGAUGAAGGCCUUAGGGUUGUAAAGCCCUUUUACCCGGGAUGAUAAUGACAGUACCGGGAGAAUAAGCUCCGGCUAACUCCGUG